UACGGAGGGUGCAAGCGUUAUCCGGAUUCACUGGGUUUAAAGGGUGCGUAGGAGGGCAGGUAAGUCAGUGGUGAAAUCUUUGGGCUUAACCCGAAAACUGCCAUUGAUACUAUCUGUCUUGAAUCCCGUGGAGGUGAGCGGAAUAUGUCAUGUAGCGGUGAAAUGCUUAGAUAUGACAUAGAACACCAAUUGCGAAGGCAGCUCGCUACUCGAAGAUUGACUCUGAGGCACGAAAGCGUGGGGAUCAAACAGG
rnacentral:rRNA from 1 species